rnacentral:tRNA from 1 species
GGAGAGGUGGCCGAGUGGUCGAAGGCGCACGCCUGGAAAGUGUGUAAACUCCAAAAGGGUUUCCAGGGUUCGAAUCCCUGUCUCUCCGCCA